CACGUAGGAGGCAAACGUUAUCCGGAUUUACUGGGCGUAAAGCGCGUGUAGGUGGUUCUGUAAGUAGGGCGUGAAAGCUUCCGGCUCAACUGGGAGAGGCCGUUCUAAACUGCAGAGCUAGAGGAUGGUAGAGGGAGGUGGAAUUCCAGGUGUAGCGGUGGAAUGCGCAGAUAUCUGGAGGAACACCAGUGGCGAAGGCGGCCUCCUGGACCAUUCCUAACACUCAGACGCGAAAGCUAGGGUAGCAAACGGGAUUAGAUACCCGUGUAGUCCCUGA
rnacentral:rRNA from 1 species